rnacentral:tRNA from 1 species
GCCUGGGUGGCUCAGUUGUUGAGUGUCUGCCUUCAGCUCAGGGCGUGAUCCCAGGGUUGUGGGAUCAAGCCCCACAUCAGGCU